AAGUCGUAACAAGGUUUCCGUAGGUGAACCUGCGGAAGGAUCAUUAACACGUAUCCACGUUUAUAAACAAACACGCUGAACUGUGCUCCCUAUCAUUCUAAGUCAAGGCUGUUGUUCAUGGUGUUAAAGUGGGUCCUCCGCAAGGGGGGCAUACAUUGUGAGACUGUCAUUCCUACGUUCUGCGUAGAGAGUGUGGCUGAGGAAUUGAAUUGAUAGGCUUAUCUCAUCUUCCUACGCGGCAGACUGCUUCGGCCCUUGGAAAUGAUACCCAUACCCCAUUAUUCACCCUAUUUUACCUAUUUGACUAAUUUCUAUGUAUUAGAGAGAAAUCUCUUCACAUUAUCUAAGAUUUAUCUUAACUAAGCACAACUCUUAGCAAUGGAUAUCUUGGUUCUC
rnacentral:misc_RNA from 1 species